rnacentral:misc_RNA from 1 species
AGCAGGAAAGAAAGUCUUAUGGCGUUCUUCAAGCGAGCUUGGGAUAGUGGGAGCCAAGUAGGGCAAAAUAAAGAACUGGCGCUUUCUGUAGUAUUUUCAAAAGUAAUGAAGUAAUAAAUUAGGGUGGAACCGCGUUUCUGACGCCCCUAGGUCAAAUCAACCUAGGAUUGUCGGAUGCGGUUCUUUUGAAUU